AAGUCGAACGAUACAUGCCCAGCUUGCUGGGUGGAUUAUUGGCGAACGGGUGAGUAACACGUGAUUAGCCUGCCCUUGGCUUCAGGAUAAGUCCGGGAGGCCGGGGCUAAUACCGGAUAUGAACCGUCCUCGCCUGGGGGUGGUUGGAAAGUUUUUCGGUCAAGGAUGGGCUCGCGGAUUAUCCCGUUGUUGGUGGGGUGAUGGCCUACCAAGGCGACGACCGGUAGCCCGACUGAGAGGGCAACCGGCCACGCUGGGACUGACACUCGGACCGAACUCCUACGGGAAGCAGUAGUGGAGAAUAUUGCACAAUGGCCGACAGCCUGAUGCAACGACGCCCCGUGAAGGACGAAGGCCUUCGGGUUGUAAACCUCUUUCAGCAAGGAAGAAGCGCAAGUGACGGUACCUGCAGAAGAACCGCCGGCUAACUACGUGCCAGCAGACGCGGUAAUACGGCUAACAGCGCGUUGUCCGGAAUUAUUGGGCGUAAAGAGCUCGUAGGCGGUUUGUCUAUGUCUGGUGUGAAAACUCGCGGCUCAACUUCUAGCUUGCAUCUGAAACGGGCAGGACUAGAGUGCGGAAGGACAUUACUGUAAUUCCUGGUGUAGUGCAGGAAUGCAAAAGAUAUCAUUGAACAACACCGAUGGGAGAUGGCGUAGUCUCUGGGGACGCACCUGACGCUGAAGAGCGACAGCGUGGGGCAGCGAACGAGACUAGAUACCCCUGAGUACUCGCGACCGUAAACGAUGAACACUACGGGGUGGGCCUCACUCCACGAGAUCAGUGCCAACAUCAAACACAAUAUACUGCCCUUUCUGGGGACUACGGCCGCAUUGAUAACACUCAAAGGAAUAGACGGGCCCCCGCACAAACCGCAGAACCAUGUCAAUUUAUUCCAUGCCAACGCGAAGCACCCUUUAUCAUUGUUUUGAGUUGCCACGAUAAACCCCCUUAACAAUGGCGUUCUCCUUUGGACACUCGCUGCACAGGGUGGGGGGCUUGCUCUUCCUCGGCUCCGUCGAUGGAGAAGUUGGUUGGGAUUAUCUCCCAACCACCGACGCGCCACCCCCUCUCUCUCGUGGUCUGCCCACCGGAAUUGUGGUCGGGGGACACUUUGGAGGUGAAAGCUGCCCGGCGUUCUACCUUUGAGGAGACCAGUGGUAAAAUGACGGCCGAGAGUCUAAA
rnacentral:rRNA from 1 species